UGCAGGCAGAGAGCCUCACGCGGUCGCCUGGUGCGAACGUUCCGUGAUCUCAGCUCCGCCGCUUGUCGAUCGCGAUAACCGGUUCGGUCGUCCUAUCAUUAGGCGUCCUUAGAACUAUACUAAUUGUUUAGUGCCGUUCUCCCUCUUGAAAAACUUCCACACUUUGGACACAGUGAUUUGAAUAUUUUUUUUAAUUAAGAUUGGUGUUUUAAAAAACUUUUGUGAAGUGUUGUUAUAUUUGUCGUAAAUUCUAAAUAAAUGUAAUAAACAAUUCUCAGUGAAUAAUUAUUACCUGUGAAACUUUACUGUGUUUUUAAGCGUAAGUUCAAUUUGCGUGAAGUUUUGAAGUUCUAUAUAAAGUUCUGUGAGUAAUUUCGUAAAGUGAAAACCCAAACUAAUUCCUUUGAACUUUGCACCGUGAAAGCUCUACUAUUCCACAACAGAUCCGAGGAACUCGACGAAGUGCACUCGAAAAUAGACAUAUUCUGCAAGUCAUCUCACUCCAACAAAUAUUUCAAACAAAAUAACGCAACGUAACAUGUCAUAAGGUACAUAUUGGUGAUGAGAGGAUGAGCCAUGGAAUCACGCAGCGCGCCGCCGAGCCCCGAGGAUCCCGGGGAGGCGGUGUUCGACACUCGAUGCGGUCGAUACCCGCACCAGCCAUCCCUGCAAAGAAACUUCGCCAGCUGUCGCGAAACGACGCGUCCACGUCCCCUCCAUCGCCAUGCUGCAUCUGAACCUGCACGGCCUGAUGAUCACGUCCUAACUACUGCCGAGGUUCACGACUAUCCCUCUUCUGAAUCAGGCAUAGCGGCAGACUGCCCUCAUCCACACACGAGUAACGCAGAAGACAGUCCUUCAUACGACAGAUCAGAUUACGAAGGGAACUGUAACUAUACUCUCAGGCGUACACCUGAUUAUCAUCAUACACUCGACUGUAAACAUAGGACCCUAGAUUAUAAUCGAAGUCGAACUCCUGAUUACAGUCAUGGACAUAUUAACGAUUUUGACCGGGGUCAUAGUAAAACACAACAGCCUCGUCGAACGCAUAGGAAGCACAGACGAGAAGAAGACGACGGUGCUCAUUCUUUGGAUGAACGAUGCGCACGCGACCUUGACGAAAUCUUACCGGCCAGACUUGCAGCAGUUAACUUGUCAAGAGAACCGCCACCGCAGACGUGGGAUCGCAGCAACAUCACCGCUACUAUGGAGCGAUUUGAGCCGAUUGAUUAUUCAUAUGCUUACUACGACCACCAUUUAUCGAUGCCGUCGUCUUCAAGAAAAGCAAAUCGACAACGAGGACGUGGUGCAGUUCCACGGGAGCGAACCUCUCGUCACAAUUAUGUCACAAGAUAUGGAACGGAAGAAAAUAUCUACGAAGAAAUUACUGAUGGUACGAGAACUUGCCCAAAACAUCGCUACGUUCCUAGGCAGUCGCUAGUAUCGCUGGACAGAAGCGUGGUUGAAGAAGAGGUCCGCCGCGUAGAGUCAAGGCAUAAGCGAAUUUUAGGCGAACUGAAUCUAAGUGUCGAAGCCAUGCUGAUGCCUGAGUGUGAAUCGCCUGACUCAGAACGUGCAGAAGAUAGAGACAAUAUUGAAGAAUUACUAAGAGUGGGCCCAACGGAUGAGCUACUAUCACCGGCCAGUUGUAAUCCUCCGGAUUUAGAUAGCGGUUUUAGUGGGAGUAGUAGCGGUGCAAGCUAUGUGGGCAGCCUUCGUCGUAAGCCAACAGGCUCGGUACCGCAUUUACCUGCUGUGGCAUACGGGACACGCACUGCAGGUGUGAAGAUACUGAGUGCCGAAGAAUGUGGUGUACGAUUUCCAAGGGAUUCGCAAUCUCCUAGGAGCUCAAGUUGUGGGGAUGCAAAAGCCAGUGGAUUUUGGAAUAAAAAAUCCUGGAAGAAAAUAUCUGGGUUCUCCAGCUCGAAUAGCAUUAACAAAGCAGGCCUCACGGGUCUGCUCGUUAGGUACACUUUCCGGCGUAAGUCCGGCUCGCAGGGCUCACAGGGCAGGCGGCGGACCGAGCCCGUCAAAUGCGAUGCGUGCCUCUCACAACGAUGUUAGCCGCACUAUCGAUGAAGCGUGUAGGCCAAGCAGACCUAAAUCCAGAACAGCCACUAUCCCGUACAGCUACUCCAACGGAAAACUGGUGGUGCCGCUGGAUUCCGUAGCACAGAGCUGAGGGGACUGUCCCCCUCGUCAUUCCGUUAUCGAACUCCUCAGAGGUUCUCCUCGACACGAAGGUCCAUCAGUAAAUAGUGAGCCUUCACUGUGAACAGCGCGUAUCGGACUAUGGAAUUUAAAAUAAAAAAUUAUAAAGUACCAACAUUCCAAUAUUACAUUUAUAAAUAGGCAACGGCGAGUCUGAAAGACAAACUGUCGGAUUGAUGAAUGUAUUGUGUGUCGUGUAUAUUAUAUAGCCAGUAAAACUUUUAACAUGCAAUGAGUGUAUACGUCGAAGUGAUAGAAAAGCCUAAUAAUUUUGUUACGAACGAUCGUUUCAUAGAAACGUAAAGAAUACGUUGUUAUAACUUAUCAAUUUUUAGUAGAAUAGUGUUCGAGAAGGCUGACAGUCGAUCGGGUUUUGUAAAUUAUAAAACGGAAACUGCCAUUUUAGAAAUUUUUUGUUACUUUAAUGAAUACAUAUUUAAAAAUUGUCUACACAAAGCCAAAUUAUUGUAAGAAAUUAAAUUCUUAUAACAGCGGUGCUUUCGAUAAUCAAACAAGUUCACGCCUAAUUUCUUAUUUGUGUAUUAGAUUGUCUAAAGUAAUAAUACAACCUAUUUAUCUCUUUGAUGUCGUUGUUAAAUACUUUUUAGGUUAAUUGUAUAUGGUGUAAAUAAUCUUUUCAAAAAAAAAAAAAACGGUGCACAUUUACAUGGUUAUUUAUGUAAAUAUUUAAAAAAAAAUCACUUAGCGAGUGUUCGAAUUUUUUUAAAUAAAUAAAUCGUAGUUUUUAUGAAACAUCUCAGUUCGCAAGCUCACCGGAUGAUUCGUUUUUUUUACAACAACGCAACUAACUUUAUAUAUAUAUGGAACUGUCAUAUGGUAAUGAAUUCUAAAAGCUUUGAAUUUCUCUUGCAAAACAUAAAUCCUUGACGUAAUCAAAUCGACAAGUUCAGCAUUCAGUGUAUUCAUUCAUCAAUCAUUUCAAGCAAAUGUAAAGGCAAAAUGAAAUUGUAAAUAAGUAGUUUUAAUGUAAAUUGUUUUUGUAAAAUCGGUCAAUAGUGAGGUCUUGUAACUAAUCGUUGUAAGCUGGACUGGUUGUAAUCUCAAUGUUAUUAUUAAUAAUUUUCUUUGAUUGUCUGUAUUUUAGUGAACGUGUUCAAGUCAAAAGAGAUUUUUAUUAAAUAAAUGAUAAAAAGUCA